rnacentral:rRNA from 1 species
AGUGAACGCUGGCGGUAGGCCUAACACAUGCAAGUCGAACGGCAGCACAGUAAGAGCUUGCUCUUACGGGUGGCGAGUGGCGGACGGGUGCGGAAUACAUCGGAAUCUACUUUUUCGUGGGGGAUAACGUAGGGACACUUACGCUAAUACCGCAUACGACCUACGGGUGAAAGCAGGGGAUCUUAGGACCUUGCGCGAUCGAAUGAGCCGAUGUCGGAUUAGCUAGUUGGCGGGGUAAAGGCCCACCAAGGCGACGAUCCGUAGCUGGUCUGAGAGGAUGAUCAGCCACACUGGAACUGAGACACGGUCCAGACUCCUACGGGAGGCAGCAGUGGGGAAUAUUGGACAAUGGGCGCAAGCCUGAUCCAGCCAUACCGCGUGGGUGAAGAAGGCCUUCGGGUUGUAAAGCCCUUUUGUUGGGAAAGAAAAGCAGCAGGUUAAUACCCCGCUGUUCUGACGGUACCCAAAGAAUAAGCACCGGCUAACUUCGUG